GUGAACGUUACCAAACUGUUGCCUCGGCGGGAUCUCUGCCCCGGGUGCGUCGCAGCCCCGGACCAAGGCGCCCGCCGGAGGACCAACCUAAAACUCUUUUUGUAUACCCCCUCGCGGGUUUUUUAUAAUCUGAGCCUUCUCGGCGCCUCUCGUAGGCGUUUCGAAAAUGAAUCAAAACUUUCAACAACGGAUCUCUUGGUUCUGGCAUCGAUGAAGAACGCAGCGAAAUGCGAUAAGUAAUGUGAAUUGCAGAAUUCAGUGAAUCAUCGAAUCUUUGAACGCACAUUGCGCCCGCCAGUAUUCUGGCGGGCAUGCCUGUCCGAGCGUCAUUUCAACCCUCGAACCCCUCCGGGGGGUCGGCGUUGGGGAUCGGCCCUCCCUUAGCGGGUGGCCGUCUCCGAAAUACAGUGGCGGUCUCGCCGCAGCCUCUCCUGCGCAGUAGUUUGCACACUCGCAUCGGGAGCGCGGCGCGUCCACAGCCGUUAAACACCCAACUUCUGAAAUGUUGACCUCGGAUCAGGUAGGAAUACCCGCUGAACUUAAGCAUA
rnacentral:rRNA from 1 species